GUGGCGAACGGGUGCGUAACACGUGAGUAACCUGCCCCAAAGACUGGGAUAACACCGGGAAACCGAUGCUAAUACCGGAUACCCCCAUUGAUUCGCAUGGAUCGAUGAGGAAAGGAUUCUGCUUUGGGAGGGGCUCGCGGCCAUCAGCUUGUUGGUGAGGUAACGGCUCACCAAGGCGACGACGGGUAGCUGGUCUGAGAGGACGAUCAGCCACACUGGGACUGAGACACGGCCCAGACUCCUACGGGAGGCAGCAGUAGGGAAUCUUGCGCAAUGGGCGAAAGCCUGACGCAGCAACGCCGCGUGGGGGAUGAAGGCCUUCGGGUUGUAAACUCCUUUCAGUGGGAACGAAAUUGACGGUACCCACAGAAGAAGCCCCGGCCAACUACGUGCCAGCAGCCGCGGUGAUACGUAGGGGGCGAGCGUUGUCCGGAUUUAUUGGGCGUAAAGAGCUCGUAGGCGGUUUGGCAAGUCGGGUGUGAAACCCCCAGGCCCAACCUGGGGACGCCACUCGA
rnacentral:rRNA from 1 species